rnacentral:rRNA from 1 species
GUCUGUUCGGGAUUUAUAUGAAUAGUCUGGCCUGCCCCCUGAAGAGAUUUAAAGGGCUGCGGUACCCUGACCGUGCAAAGGUAGCAUAAUCAAUUGUUUUUUAAUUGAAGACUGGAAUGAAUGGCUCGACAAGAAGAAGGCUGUCUCUUUUAUAAAAUUUGAAUUUAACUUUUAAGUGAAAAGGCUUAAAUAAUAUAAGGGGACGACAAGACCCUAUAAAACUUUAAAACAACUGGUCUAUGUUUCUCUUAAAUUAAAACUCAGUUUAUUAUACUAGUGUAUAACAAAGAGAAUGAGAUUGUGUAGGCUUAUAUUGUUCUACUGGGGCGGUAGUGAUAAAAGAAAGUAACUGUCAUGAGAAUAUAUAAUACAUUUUUGUACAAAAGCGUACAUUAAUAUUUUGUUUGAGCGUAGUUAAUAUAUAUAUAUAUAUAUAUAUGCUUCUUGGAAAAUAAUAAUAAUUAGUUAAUAUUGAUCUUUUAAAAUUAUUAAUAAUAUAGAUAUAAUAUAGUUGUUAUAUAAUAAAAACAACAGUAAAUUAGGAAUUAAGAGAGUGAGUUACUUUAGGGAUAACAGCGUAAUUUCUCUUGAGAGUGCAAAUCGACAGAGUUAGUUGCGACCUCGAUGUUGAAUUAAGAUAAUUAUAGGGCGUAAAAGCUUUAUAAGUGGGUCUGUUCGACCUUUGAAAUCUUACAUGAUUUGAGUUCAAACCGGUGAGAG